UACGUAGGGGGCCAGCGUUGCUCGGAAUUACUGGGCGUAAAGGGUUCGUAGGCGGUGCGGCAAGUUGGGAGUGAAAUCUCUGGGCUUAACUCAGGGGCUGCUUUCAAAACUGCCGCGCUCGAGUGCGAGAGAGGUCAGUGGAAUUGCAGGUGUAGCGGUGAAAUGCGUAGAUAUCUGCAGGAACACCCGUGGCGAAGGCGGCUGACUGGAUCGCAACUGACGUGAGGAACGAAAGCUAGGGGGAGCAAACAGG
rnacentral:rRNA from 1 species